UUUCUCCUCCUCCAAAUGACGAGUGUGCGUAUUUAAAAGAAGAUGGACAGUAUGUCUCAUAUACCAAUCAGUAACGAGUUUCAUUGUACAAGACUCUAGGUCUGAAGAUGUAGUGUCGCCAUUACUGAUCACAAAUUGUACCAAGUGUAGCUUAGUGUACUAGUUUGGGGGUUGUAUGUGGCGGAACGCUGCCGCUGUAUCGGAAUGCAGUAGUUGCUGUGUGCAAUUUAGAUGUGAUUACAUACAGUCAGUUAUGCACCCGUGUUAGAGGUAAUGGGUUUAAGGGAAACGUUAACGGGGUGAUUUAUGUGCUUGGUUAACUUGUGUAAUGGUGACUUGGCAUAUGGCUUUUAUAUAUUUUCAUCCAUUUAUUCUCAACGACGUAAAAUUAUACACAUUAAUUAGAUCACUGAUCAUGUAAAACGUGGGGAAGGUGUUCAUCAUGUCAUUCGCAGCCAAAAGUAUGUGAACAUCUCUACAUUGGCAUAACAAAGAAAUGAAAGUAUUUUUCACAUUAUCUUGGCAAGACAUUCGGCUGGACAAUUUGUACUAAGUAAACUCUUCUUACCAAGUAUUUGUAAAUGAAAUAAAGCUUACCACCAAA